rnacentral:lncRNA from 1 species
GGCUUUGGUGUGUAGGAUUCAUUGAAGCGUAGGUUUCUUAUGUAGUUUUGCAGAACUGAUGAAUAUGAGGAAUUGCUUCGAGUGUAGAGAACUGCAGAAAUGGAUGAACCGGAUUUGUUUUCAAGGCAUUGAAUGAAUGCAUGGUGAGACGAUGUGUUGUUGGAGGUAGCCGAUGAGAGAGAAAGUAGAAGGGAGAAGAGGAGAGAGAAUGACACUGCAAUUCUUGAACAACUCAUUGUCUGAAAAUGUUGUGGGUUUUUGAUAUUAUUAUGAGGGUUUUGAGUUGGUAUUAUAUAGAGAAAAUUUUGAAGUAUGUGGGCAGACACGUUUGAUGCAAAUCGGAUAAUAAUUAGAUAUAGUAUAAUUCAAAUAUUAUUUUUUUUCCAAGAUUUGACCUUGAAAUUUUCAAAGAAGGUAACGUAUUCGACCUCUGACAAAUCUACUUGAUCAAUACUGCUAAUUUCGUGCAUGAUCUUUGCAUUAUAAGAGUUGUAGGCGGGCGGGGUGAUAUUUAAACACGUGUCGUUUAACAUUAUUUUGGGAUAACUAAUACUCCCUCCGUCCGCCAAGAUUAUGUAAAAUUGCUUGGGCACGGGAUUUAAUAAAAUUGGUGAUGAUUUUGAUGUAGUGGAGAAAGAGUUCCACCACUUUAUGAGAUGUGUGGUUGAGAUUGAAUUUUGAGUGGGUUUUUUGUAAAUAAAGAGUGUUAGUAAGGAUAAAAUAUUAAAGAGGAUGGUGGGACCAUUGCCAUAAAAGGAAAGUGACAUAAUCUUGGCGGACGCCAAAUAUAGUAAUUUUUACAUAAUCUUGGCGGACGGAGGGAGUAUAAUUAAUUAACGUGUAUAAAAUGUUAAUUGUUAAGUACAUAAGGGGAAAUAUAUAUGACAUUGAUCAAAUAAAUUUAAUGUCUAAAUUAGCUGCAAUUUGAGUUUAAAAUGAGCGGGCUGUGGAACUAAUUAAUCUUAAACUCUUCUCCUUUUCAUUACUUUAUAUCUCGUAACUACUAUUUGUAGUUGGGAUUAGAAUAAAAUCCCACUUUUGAUGCAGAGAGCAAAUUAAAUGAUAGAGUAUUUUAUGGUUGGUGAAAAUUAACAGAAAGUAUGUCAUGAAGUAAAAUGCUACGUAUAGAGUCUGGUGCCUAACCUCCCAUUAAUAGAGAUGGCUCUCAUUAAAAAAACUAUAAAUGAAAUUCGUAGUUGACUAAUUUCAUAGUCAAUAAUACUGCUGGCGUAGAUACACCAAUUAAUAAUUGAAAAUUUAUUUAAUUGAGAAGAGGGCAAGGGAAAAUUGAAAUGUCAGAGAUCGUUGAUGAUAUAAAAAAGUCAUUCCAUGAAAAAUAAACACUAACACAAUGUAAAAUGAUAACUGGAUAAAGCUUCGCUGAGAUGAUAUAUUUGACUUCAACAAAAAAAAAACCAUUUUAUUUAUUUUGUGUACCAGAUUAAAAAGACUAUCCAAAGUUUGAGUGUUUUUGAUAUAUAUAUAUACAUAUAUUUAAUCUAUAUUUAUAUUUAUUUUUUGAAGGAAAAAGGUGACUUUAUUACGAGCACAAGUAUGGAGAAGAUUCUUCACAAAAGAUGGAGGUUCAUUUCAAACAUGCAUAGAAGUAAAAUCCUUUGUCGACUUAGCCCGAAUCAAAAUAUGAAGCCAAACGUGUGUGCAUGUGCUGGUUUAGCGGUAGUUGGUGAUUGAUGCCAAGAUUUGAGAUCCCGAGUUUGAGUCCAUCGUCGUGCAGUUUUUCAAUUUCUUUAUUUACUUGUGUAGUCAAAACUUAUACUUUAACGAUGUAUUUUAAUUUUAUUGAUAUUUAUAAUAUAUCAUUAGAUAUGAAUUUAAAAUAGAAUUUUAACAAAUCUGAAUUUCAAUGUGGGAUGGAUGAAGAAAAGAUGCAAAAAUAUCAUAUAAUAUAGAAUUGAGAAUGAUCAAAAUACUCACUUGUGGGAGUGCCACAUAAGAUAGAGAAUGAAGGAGAUGUCUUCAAUAUAUAUUAUAUUUAAUAAUAGAUAGAUCUGGUAUUUCUCUACAUUUUCAAGAACAAGAGAAGAGACCAAGCUCAAUCCUCCAUUUCCAAAUAUUUUUCUAAAAGAAAAAAAAUGUACGUAAAUUAAAGGUAAAGGUUGGCAUCGAUCUUAAAUAAAUUCCCGACAGAUGCUAGUAUUACUCCACAUCAAAGAUGGAAAAUAAUGAUAAGUGUAUAAGAUGGAAACCCUACUUCCACGUCAAAGACUUUAACUUUUUUUUUUUCUACAAUAUUAUCUUUAUAUCUUAUUUAAAAAAUCUCAUAUGUAUUCCAUCAAAAAAAAAUCUUUUUUUUUUAUCAAAUCAAAAUAAAAUAAAAUAAAAUAAAAAUAUCUUAAUUACAGAUAGUAACAUUUCAUAAGCAAGAUUAUUCAAUUAGAAUUCAUAAGCGCCCUUCAUUUCCAUUUUUCUUUUUUUAAUAGAAGGAAGAAAAGAAACUUAGUGAACGUGUGAAACAAGGCCAUGACUUAGGCGUGGACUACUUCCUUGAAAAUACUCCCUCCGUCCCCAAAAUAAGUUCCUCUUUGGGGACGUCACGAGUUUUAAGGGAAAAUGGUAAAGUGUAUUAAUAGUGGAGAAAAAUAUAUUAUAAUUAGUAUUGAGAGUGGUGAAAAGGUGAAAAAAUGUUAUAAUUAGUAUUGAGAGUGGUGAAAAAGUGAAAAUUAAGAAUAAAUAAAGUAUUAUUAGUGGUGGGGUAGUUGUCCAAAAUUGAAAAGAAAGGAAUAAAACUUAUUUGGGGGACGUCCCAAAAAGGAAAAAGAGGAACUUAUUUCAGGAACGGAGGGAGCAAUGAAUAAGACUGGAGUCGAUAAGACAAAAGAAGAAAAUUCAAAACAAAUUAAAGAUGGACGUUCGAGAAUCACUCGCUCAAUCUACAAUUUGAAUGGUCAUAACUAUUUCUACAUAUAAGUUUUUUUUUUUAAAUAAUUUUAUUAUUUAGUAAUAGAUUCGAUUAUAUUUCCAUCCUUAUCUCACUUAAAUAUUUCCCCAUUAAAACGGUAGAAUUUCCUGCAUCAUAUUCUUAUGAUCAUAUCUAAAUCCAACCCCCAUAAUGACCGUAUGUCUUAAUUGCAGCUUCCCCGCCUUCUAGACUCACAACGACAAUUCAACGCUCAUCAUAAAUUUACAACCAAAGAGAACGCACCCUAAGAGAACCUCAUUCUUAAAUUCCAGAUCGCCUUGCCCAGAAUCCUCCGACAAUCUUUUGACGGCAAUUUCUUGACCAUUUGGAAGUUUCCCCUAAAAUUAUACACACACUAUUUAUCUUUAGUUUUUCGUUUCCACUUUGAAUUUGUUACAUACUCUUAUUCUAUCAGCUGUAAAUCUACCUUGUAAUUGACCCAACUUAUUAUGAUCAGAGAAAUUAUUUGUUGCGGAUUUAAGCAUACUGCAGAGAUUCGGCUGUGCUAAUCUCGUCCACAGCUUCAACAAAAUUAUAAAGAAACAUUAUUUGAGUCGAAUAUAUGCGCCGGAAUGAAUGUGCAAGAAAAAGAUCAUUAACUUACAUUGAGGAAUUCACCAACUCUAAUAAAAAAAAAAAAAAGUAGAAAAGCUUAGUAGUAUGUAUUUGAAUUUUCUUUCACGUUAAUUUAUUUAAUACUCCAUCCGUCCCACCAUUUUAGUCUCCUCCCACUUUUCAGUACAUAUUAAGAAAAUGCAUUUAAUUUUUAUAUUUUUAUCUUUUAUACCCUUAUUUAUUAUUUUCACACAUCAUUUUCACAUUUAAGUGAAGCAUUAAAUAAGGUUAAUUUAGUAAAAAUAAUAUUUUUAUAUAGUAUUAAUUAGAAAAGUGGACUAUCUUUUUGGGACAUUUAAAAUGGAAUAAGAGACUAAAAUGGUGGGACGGAGGGAGUAUUAAUUUAGGCUUUCAAAGUUACUAGAACCUUGCAGCCCAUCGAUCUUUCUUGCACGCAUAUACUCCAAAUGGCAAAAUCAAGUUUAUAGUUACACAAAUAUUUCCUAUUCACCAUUAAUUAAGUGAAAAACAAAAUGACAAAGUUUAUACUUGAUAGCUUGUACGGGAUCCGAGAUAUUUAAAUAAUAAGGUUGUGCUCGGUAGGUUUUAAUUAAUUAUAAGGUCUUGAUAGCAAAAUAAUCUUGCAUUAUUAUGUGUUUGAUAGUUCAUAUUAUUAACGAGGGUUCGAGAUAAAAUCAAGGCUCAGAUGAAUUUUACUGUUCCUUUUAAAAAAAAGUUCGCCUCACUGAUCUCCUGAUAAUCUAACAAAAUGUAUACAAUAUCAAACCUUUUUUGUGAGAAAUUAAUUAAUUUGAAUCUCAAUUUUGUCAUAUAUUGCAUGGCAUUGCCACAUACAUGAGCAUCGGUUAUUAACACAAAAAACUUAAUGUUUCAUUUUCUUUAUUUCAUGGUGAUACAAAGGAGAAACAUUUAACUUUAUUCCAUUCCCCUACAAAUAGCAAACAUGUGGGAAAAUGAAGAAUUUGAAGUAAGAUGUGAAAGCAUGUAAUUAUGUCCGAUAAAUUAAGAAUAAAUAUUGAUAUAUGAAUCACAAAUUCAUUGUAAGCAAUUAAUAAUGCAAAUUUGUUUUUGUGUUGACUGAAGUAGAUUAUAAGCUUGAUUCUUGAGUAAGCAUGGCUACAGUUUUAGUUAAAGCUGAAAAGGAGGGCCCAAUUUAAGCCCAUUGUGAAAAUACCAAAUGGGCCGACGAAUUUGGCUACAGUAAUUAGUCCUCGCAACUCGCAAGCUCAAAAGGAGGGCCCAAUUUACGGUUUUAACCGUAUAAUCGAAACCGGUUUACCAGCCCUACUCGCAACUCGGGAAACCGUCACGUUUUCCGGGACGGGGACGAUUUUGAUCUUGUACGAUACACGACGCCGUAGCUGGAGCCUCCGAGAUCCUCACCUGCAUGCCGUGCGCCUUCGCGCAUAGAAUGGCUGAUUGAAUGUGGGAAACUUGCUUCGCGGCGAUGAUGAUUUGGGGUUUUGGUGCGUAGGAUUCAUUGAAGCGUAGGUUAAUUUCUUAUGUAAUUUUGCAGAAGUGAUGAAUAUGAGGCAUUGCUUUGAGUGUAAAGAACUGCAGAAAUGGAUGAAUCGGAUUUGUUUUCAAGGCACUGAAUGAAUGCACGGUGAGAUGGUGUAUUAUUGGAGGUAGCCCAUGAGAGAGAAAGUACAAGGGCGAAGAGGAGAGAGAAUGACACUACGAUUUUUUUAUUUUUUUUUGAAGUUAUAAAAGGUAUCUGAAUACAAUUAAUUAUACAACCCGCACGCAGACGGGACUUCAACACCACACAACAGUGGGAAAACAUCACCUCACGCAGACAAACCGUCCUGCGUGUGGGAACUCAACACCAAACAAUAUAAUAUACAACAACAAUACAUCAGUGACAUCACCACUUUAUAUAAUGUACAACAACAAUACAUCAUCACCUAAAAUGGGAAAACAUCACCGCCAAGCGGGAUUGAACCCAAGACCUCUCACAAAGGAGGGUCCUACGAGGUACCCACUACUUGGAGUACCCUCCAAAAAGGAAAAAAAGGGCAUAGGAAGUGAAGAUCUGAGAUUGCAUUACACGAUCUAAAAGUGCUUCAGAAGGCUGGCCAGUAGAAGGAUAGCUAGAGAAGUGGGGGAUUUCUUCAAAAAGUGCUUUCAACAAAAACGGGGAACACGAGAAUCAAAAUCCUUGAUCAACGAGGGAGGAGCAUCUCCGAACGAAAUUUGAGGUUCCCAAGCUGACUAAGCUUCAUCCUAUUCUUUCUUGGAAAAAACCAAGGCAAUUUCGUUUACUACAGUACAAGUCUCUCCUCGUUUAUCUUUUUAGAGGAAAAGAGCGGAACAGUCAAUGAAACCGAAAAAAAGAGAAGGGCGGAAAUGUCACCAGCGGCAGAGGUAGCAACAUCUAAGCCAGUGUAUCUGGGCCAGUUGGCUUCGUCGACUCAGCAAUUGAAGUGGUUGAUCUUGAACCAAUUUGUUCAUCAGUUGCCCCAUUACCCGGUAAGCUCUCCUGGAUCAAUUUUGCCUCAGCUUUGGGUGUCCCAGCUUUGCCACUAAGCAAGGUCUGCGAUUCUUGAAUAAUUCAUUUUCU